rnacentral:rRNA from 1 species
UACGAAGGGGGCUAGCGUUGCUCGGAAUUACUGGGCGUAAAGGGCGCGUAGGCGGCUUGAUAAGUCAGGCGUGAAAUUCCUGGGCUUAACCUGGGGGCUGCGCUUGAGACUGUUGGGCUGGAGGUCAGAAGAGGCUCGUGGAAUCCCCAGUGUAGAGGUGAAAUUCGUAGAUAUUGGGAAGAACACCGGUGGCGAAGGCGGCGAGCUGGUCUGAUACUGACGCUGAGGCGCGACAGCGUGGGGAGCAAACAGGAUUAGAUACCCUGGUAGUCCACGCCGUAAACGAUGUGCGCUGGAUGUUGGGGCCCUUAGGGCUUCAGUGUCGUAGCCAACGCGGUAAGCGCACCGCCUGGGGAGUACGGCCGCAAGGUUGAA